rnacentral:rRNA from 1 species
AUGGCAGUGGCGGAGAAUAGGUUGGUAUUUUUUGAUUUGUUUUUGCUAGAACCAGGUUUGAUUUUUGCUGGAACCUACUUGCAUUUUUGCUGCAACAGGAAGAUCACAAUGCUCGGCGGCGACGGCAUGGCCACUAUGAAUUGUUUUUGCUGGAAUCAGCAAUGCUUUUUGCUGGAACCAACCUUUGCUUCUGCUACAUCAGAGAAGACUACGUGGUGGGAAUCAGCUACAUCCAGCGAUUUUUUUUGCUACUUCCGUCAUCAAUUUUUGUUGGAACCAGCACAAGCGUCGGCUACGUCCGUCGGACGGCGGAGCUACAAUCAGCGGGGAAAUGCUACAAUCGGCUUUGCAUUUAAGAUUGACUUGGAUAUGUUGCAACGACGACCAGGGAGCAAGGGUGUGUUGUGCGAAGUUUUUUUUUCUGCAAGGGGCACAACAGCCGUGCUGACCUGGCAGCAAGUUCGGCCGGUGGCGAGGUUGGCCAGCUGA